GCCUCUUUAGCUCAGUUGGUUAGAGCACAUGACUGUUAAUCAUGGGGUCCAAGGUUCAAGUCCUUGAAGGGGCGCCA
rnacentral:tRNA from 2 species